rnacentral:lncRNA from 10 species
CUACUCACCAGCUAUGCGACCCUGGGGCUUAUCCCAACCUGAAAUUUCCCUACUUUCUGGCUUGCUUGUCAGCUCCGUGAGUGUGGGGCUCUUUUCUCUGGGAACUCAGAAGAUGAACAGACUUGAUACGUGUUAGUCCUGGCCUCUCCUCUUCCUCCAAGCCACACCUGCUCAUCUGUGAGCCCCUUCAGGGCAGGGCAUCAUGUCCUCCUCAUUUUUGCUUUCUUGACCCUGAGCAGUAUGCCUGGUCCAUAGUGAACCCUUAGCCUGUAUUUGCUGCCUGCCUGCCUGUCAUUGUCUUCCCCAACCUUUUCCCUUAGCAGCCCUUGGUGAUCUCCUGAUGGUUUCUAACACAUGCUGCAGGUUACAUGUGGAGCUGAGCCUGAUAUCUCCCAGAGUGGGAAUGUCCAGGGGUGGCCUCAUGUUUCUGCCACUUACUUUGCUUUCCAGCCCAGGACAGGAUUUUGAGUGGAGAGUUUGGGGUAUAUUACUGGCUGUAGCAUUAGGGACCUUGGCCACGCCCUUUGCAUUACCCUGCGUGGUAGGACAAUACCUAGAAUGGUCUGGUCAAACCCGAGAGACUUACAGAAGGUCAAGAGGACACAGCGAUGCUCAUAGGCCCCUCUCAGUGGGGAGAUUGGGCUGUGACUUGUUCAGGCGGAGUGGGGUCCACACAGUCUGAUGAAGCUUCAUUUGGUUCAGAGGAAAAUUGCUCUCUGAACACAGACCA